UACGAGUCGACAAAACGCGAGAUGCGUAUUUGGAUGAGGACACCAGCCUUAAUUGGCAGACACGGGAAGUGUUGGUGCUUGACCAACCUGAUGUGAACAGAAGUAGUCACC
rnacentral:sRNA from 12 species